rnacentral:rRNA from 1 species
AAUGAACGUUGGCGGCGUGGAUUAGGCAUGCAAGUCGAGGGAGAACCGAAAGGGGACACCGGCGAACGGGGUAGGAUCACGUAGGUGACGUACCCCCAGGGCGAGGAUAGCCACGGGAAACUGUGGGUAAUACUCGAUAACCUUCCCGAUCAUGAUCGAAGGGGAAGCAAUGGGUGUGAUUCCACCUGGGGAGCGGCUUACGCAGUAUCAGCUAGUUGGUGAGGUAACGGCUCACCAAGGCUAUGACGCUUAGGGGGUGUGAGAGCAUGGCCCCCACCACUGGCACUGAGACACUGGCCAGACACCUACGGGUGGCUGCAGUCGAGAAUCUUCGGCAAUGGACGAAAGUCUGACCGAGCGACGCCGCGUGCGGGAUGAAGGUCUUCGGAUUGUAAACCGCUGUCAGAGGGGAUGAAGUAUACGAGAGCUAUCUCUUGUAUUUGACAGAGCCUCAGAGGAAGCACGGGCUAAGUUCGUGCCAGCAGCCGCGGUAACAC